rnacentral:rRNA from 1 species
AUUGAACGCUGGCGGCAUGCUUUACACAUGCAAGUCGAACGGCAGCGCGGGCUUCGGCCUGGCGGCGAGUGGCGAACGGGUGAGUAAUGCAUCGGAACGUGCCCAGUAGUGGGGGAUAGCCCGGCGAAAGCCGGAUUAAUACCGCAUACGACCUGAGGGUGAAAGCGGGGGACCGAAAGGCCUCGCGCUAUUGGAGCGGCCGAUGUGGGAUUAGCUAGUUGGUGGGGCAAAGGCUUACCAAGGCGACGAUCCGUAGCUGGUCUGAGAGGACGACCAGCCACCCUGGAGCUGGGCCGCGGCCCAGACUCCUACGGGAGGCCGCAGUCGGGAAUUUGGGACAACGGGGGCAACCCUGACCCAGCCGUGCCGCGUGCGGGAAGACGGCCUUCGGGUUGUAAUGCGCUUUUGUUGGGGAAGAACUGCUUUGGCCUAAUACCCCGGGGGAAUGACGGUACCGGAAGAAUAAGCACCGGCUAACUACGUG